AAUGAACGCUGGCGGCGCGCCUAAUACAUGCAAGUCGAGCGAGAAGACGUAGCAAUACGUUUGUAAAGCGGCGAACGGGUGAGGAAUACAUGGGUAACCUACCCUCGAGUGGGGAGUAACUAGCCGAAGGUUAGCUAAUACCGCGUACGCUCCUUGGACUUCGGUUCUAGGGAGGGAAAGACGAUACCGUGGGUAGUCGCGCUCUUGGUUGGGCGUCAUGUCCUAUC
rnacentral:rRNA from 1 species